CGGACGGGUGAGUAAUUUCUGGGAAACUGCCUGAUGGAGGGGGAUAACUACUGGAAACGGUAGCUAAUACCGCAUAACGUCGCAAGACCAAAGAGGGGGACCUUAGGGCCUCUUGCCAUCGGAUGUGCCCAGAUGGGAUUAGCUAGUAGGUGGGGUAACGGCUCACCUAGGCGACGAUCCCUAGCUGGUCUGAGAGGAUGACCAGCCACACUGGAACUGAGACACGGUCCAG
rnacentral:rRNA from 1 species